rnacentral:lncRNA from 1 species
ACAAAGGGAGAACACGCAAUGAGAAGACAAAACUGGAGUGGGCCACUUCAUCUGAAAUAGAUAUCAGGCCUUAAAACAUUCACAGGAUGCCAAGCCGACGAACGUUAUGCUAAAGAAUCUAAAGGAGGCCUCGAGGAGAUUCUGUCAUACCAGUCUCUAUAUGCAUAGCAGAAAGGGUAUCAGAGGACCCAAUGACCACACCAGCAAGUUAGCGUGAAGUAAGAACCAGACAACUUCCAAAAGAGCAUUCAAUCUCAUCAAUAGUUUCAUUGGGAACAGUGACCAGAGAAGACAUGGCAGCAAUUCAAACCCCAAAUAGAAGACAAACCCAA